AUGCAUGAAGGUGGUGUGUGGGUUUUUGUUGCUGCUGUUUUUUGGUUUUUUUCUGUUACAGGGAAAGCCAUAUUGGAAAGUACUUUCUCCAGCGGUGGAUUGGGCUGGGAAGAGGUGGAGACGCCCAGGAUGCUGAGCUGGGUCUCCAAGCUGGGCCUGCAUUGGCCCAUCCCUGCCCCGUUGCUGGAACUGAUCCAGAUCCAACUAGUGGCACAAAGCACCUGGAUACUGGCCAUACAGAGACACAGGCUUACAGAAGGCCUCCUCGCACCAGCUCUGCAGUUUAAACAGGUGGAAAAAAUCCCAUGUCGUGCCUAAUCCACGCUGAACCAUGCUGGAAGCAUGACAAAGCGCACGGUGGCUGAUUGCCCCUACGACGUUUGUGAAGGGGAAGAGGGAUAACCGCUCUCGCGCGCAGGGAGAAACGUCGCCGAGGUUCGGCCGCCGUUGGGGGUGCGCUCCGUGCCCGGGGGCUGUGCACAGCUGAAGUCUCCGGCAGCUGCAAUACACAAACAUUUUGUAUACAGUUUGUGUUUUUAAUAUUUGCACACAUACAUACUUGCAAUUACAAGGGAGGCAUAUGUUUGCACUUCAGUUACAUGAAUAAUUAGAUACCCUUCCCCAAAUCAAAAUCACCAUGGAUGGUGUCAUGGAAAUAAGGGAUGAAACUGUGAGAACGGACAGCAUCGCUGGCCCAGGCUGCCGUGCCAUCAGUCGGGUAAGAGGCAGCGCGGAGCUGUGUCGGUAACGUACGCGAGUGUCGCAGGCGCUCGCAGCCCAGGACGCGUGCUUACGGCCGAGCGUGUGUGUUUGUACACGCCAGGAGAGGGGUGACUGUUUUUCUGCAUCUGAAAAGGCUCUCUGAAAUAACAGAGCACAAAGCCAGCAUAUGUUUAUGUUAGGUUGAGAUGCUGGCAUUCAGACGAUUAUAUGACUCUAUUAACAGGGCAUUAUGGCUCCAAUUUCACUUAACAUUCGAGUUGUUCACAUUAAAACAUGCCCUUGGCCUGACAAGGCAUUAUUAACUUGCGUUUAAUAAAAGUAAAAUAUUACAUUUAAAAAAAUUGAAA
rnacentral:lncRNA from 1 species